AAAACUUUGAGUUUGUUUUUAGGGUAACUUGUGACUUUCAAGUUGGUCCUGAUUAUCUAUUAUAGCUAUGUGGCCGUGUUCACUUUGACUUUUAUCAUUAAACGUUAUUCUUAUUAGUGUUAUUGGUAGGUGAAUAAAACCUUUUCUGAUCAGGACAGAUACUAAUUAAUGCUGCCAUCUUUCUUCACAGCAAAGACCUUAUGGCAUUGUGGAACUAAAACCCAAGCUUUUCCCUGGUGACACCAUUCUGGAGACGGGGGAAGUUGUUCCUGAUCUCCCCGAGACCCAUGGCCAUCACUGAACUUUGAAUAGUUAAUUCAUUUCAUUGAGUGUUUGUUG